AAUGAACGUUGGCGGCGUGGAUUAGGCAUGCAAGUCGCGCGAGAAGUUCCUGCUUGCAGGAGCGGACAGCGGCGAAAGGGAGAGGAAUACGUAGAAAUCUGCCCUCGGGACUGGGAUAGCGUCGGGAAACUGGCGGUAAUACCAGAUAACGUCUUCGGACCAAAGGUGUGAUUCCGCCUGAGGAUGAGUCUACGACCUAUUAGCUAGUUGGCGGGGUAAUGGCCCACCAAGGCGACGAUGGGUAGCGGGUGUGAGAGCAUGACCCGCCUCACUGGGACUGAGACACUGCCCAGACAUCUACGGAUGGCUGCAGUCGAGAAUCUUUGUCAAUGGACGAAAGUCUGAACAAGCGACGCCGCGUGCGGGAUGAAGGCCUUCGGGUUGUAAACCGCUGUCGUAAGGGAGCAAAUCUAGUGGGGUACUCCCCAUUAGUUGAGCGAUCUUAGGAGGAAGGACGGGCUAAGUUCGUGCCAGCCGCCGCAGUAAAAC
rnacentral:rRNA from 1 species